rnacentral:rRNA from 1 species
AUUGAACGCUGGCGGCAGGCCUAACACAUGCAAGUCGAGCGGAGCGGCCGACGGGUGAGUAAUGCCUAGGUAUCUGCCAGGCAGUGGGGGAUAACGUCCGACAACGGGCGAUAAUACCGCAUACUAUCAGAUGAGCCUAGGUCGGAUUAGCUAGGUGGUGGGGUAAAGGCCUACCAAGGCGACGAGCCGUAACUGGUGGGAGAGGAUGUUCAGUCACACUGGGACUGAGACACGGUCCAGACUCCUACGGGAGGCAGCAGUGGGGAAUAUUGGGCAAUGGGCGAAAGUCUGAGCCAGCCAUGCCGCGUGUGUGAAGAAGGUUUUCGGAUUGUAAAGCACUUUAAGUUGGGAGGCGGUACCAACAGAAUAAGCACCGGCUAACUUCGUGCCAGCCGCCGCGGUAAUAC